CUACGAUCCUGCAGUCUUAGAAAGGAGGCGCGCGGUUAACCAUGCGCUGGCCACCAUGGGGGUGAGACAGCAGCAGCCUCCGGUCAAAGAUAACGCCAGGACUCCGGGUCCUGCUUCCUCUCACCUCCAAAAUGCAAGAGACUACGAUUCCACCGUCCAACGGAAUCAGCAAGCCCCGAACUGUGGAUCCACCCGUGAUUUGUUAGACAUGUUGGGAAUCCCUCACCAGGAGCAUCUGGGUUCAGAAACGCAGAGGACUCGAGGUCCGGCGCUUCCACCUCAUUUGGAUAAGGACGGGAGCCCUCUUGGACACGCGACUCCACAAGCACAAGGAGAGAGAAGCUAUCAGUGGCCUCGUUCACUAACUCAAGAUGGCGGAGGCAAUUCAUUCCCUCAGGGAACCAACGGCUAUUUCUCUGCUGUAGCAGAAGACCUCGGGCCUGUGGCUAAAGACAAAAGUGGACCUAGAAUCCGUGGGACCGUUGCUGUAGAACGUAGUCAUGACCCUCUGCAAGGAGGUGAGAGCCAUGGGCCGGUGAUCCCAGGUGAAGGGGGAACCCAAAGUUUAGGCAUCGCAGCAGUAGAAGGGCGUGAGGCCAAAACCUUUACUCCUGAUGGUCAGAAAGUGAAACACCUUUCCCUCGCAGAGCGCGAUGUCAGGGAGUCAAAAGCCAGAAUCCCAGGACAGACUGGGAGGAAUGACCAGGCAACAAGUUAUAUUGGCGGACCGGGGAACUAUCUGGGAGCAGGCCUGGGCGCCGGGGGCUACGGACCAGGUUUGGGACAGGGAGCAUACCAGGGUGCUGCAGCUGGCAAACACGCAGGUAAAUGUUCUUUUUCUUCUUCUUUGUAUUCAUUUAAGGUUUGUUUUUCUAACUCUCUCUCUCUCUCUCAGCUGCUGCUGGUCUUGGACAAGGUGAGUUUAGAUGUUAGAUUCUGCCACAGGACGGAGGACGCAGGGUAG
ensembl:lncRNA